GAUACAGACACUCUUGGGCCUUGUCCAGUGGUGGAAUAUAACUAGUACAUUUACUCAAGAGUACUGUACUUAAGUAAAAAUGUUGAGGUACUUUCUACU